AUCUUAGCAAGAGAUAGUGGUUGCCCAUAACCGGGCAUCAAAAGGGAAUGCCGUGAAAAUCGGCUACGGUCCCGCCGCUGUAACCCUUGCCUUUGUAUUUUAAAAGGAAUCUUUUGACAAAAAAUUAGCCACUGCCCUCUAAGGGAGGGUGGGAAGGCCAAGUCAAAAGAAAGGGAAGUCAGAAGACCUGCCCUAUCUUAAAUGAACCC
rnacentral:ncRNA from 2 species